UCGGGGUUUGGAAGGUCUUCUUGUGGGCCCCCACCGCCUGCUCAAAGAGGCUGAUUUUAUCUGCAAUCCGGCCAAGGACUGGUUUAGGCUCCUCAUCGCGUUUCUUCAAGUCUUGUGGUCUGUGUAUGAUAAGGGCAAAGCAUCCACAACUACAGGACUGCGGUAGACUGUGGCAUCGGUGAUAUGCGUGCUGUUGAAGUUCUGUGCCUCCAGCGGAGCGCAAGCAGUCCAGUCGUAAAAGGAUGCCUUCAAGUGCUCCUCGUAAACCUCUGACACGAGUGCCACUGUGGAGCCGGUUAGUCAACAAGUGAUUUUCCCACGUCAAGCACCUGACCGCAGUUUCGUUUUGCUGAUAGUAGUCUGGCUGAUGGCCAACUUUUAGACCCUAGAGGGAGUAUGUAGCCUAGAUUGGUUGGAACAACUGGAGCAUAAUGGAGGCGUUUGGGACACAAAGUACAAAAAUACUACUGCAACAGGCUGCCACCAGUACACUGCCAUGACACUAGCCUGUCAAGUCAUCUCCCAACUACUGAAAAUUUAAGUUUUUACCACGACAGAUGGUUUCCAAGGGAACACUCGGGACUUCAAUUAAACCAGGAUCUGGAUCAGCCUGACCUUCUGCAUAGCCAUUCUCAGAACAUAACUCAAAGCUCAUAGAAAGCCAUAUAAACAAGCACUGUCAUGAAUUCACCAAGACAUCACAUAAAAACAACUGCAAAACUUUGUAUCUAAUCUUAAAUGAUUAUGUGCCAUACGCUUAUUGAAUUACAGCUCCUGGAGGCUGAGGAUUUGAGUGCUAAAUCGGGUUGAUUAAGCUGCCACAGCACACCGAUCUAUUUUUUUCCACACGUCUGCUGUUACUAACUACCCUUCUACGCCCUGUGCCUUGGUGAUCAUUGAUCAUUGGCUAUUCUGUAACGAUAAUUCAAACAAGAGAUGUCCUCCUCAGAAUGCAAAUAACUAUACAGUAUCUUACCAUCAGUAUUGUGAAAGAGGAUGGGAGUUAUACAUUGUGGGUCUGUUUCAGUAGAAGCUCAGGUUUGUAUGAAAUUAGUUCUUAUGCGUGAUCUACACAUGAUUGCCUCUGGUGAGAGG